AGAGUUUGAUCCUGGCUCAGAACGAACGCUGGCGGCAGGCUUAACACAUGCAAGUCGAACGCGUCCUUCGGGGUGAGUGGCAGACGGGUGAGUAACGCGUGGGAACGUGCCCUUCAGUUCGGGAUAACCCAGGGAAACUUGGGCUAAUACCGGAUACGUGCGAGAGCAGAAAGAUUUAUCGCUGAAGGAUCGGCCCACGUCUGAUUAGCUAGUUGGUGGGGUAAUGGCCCACCAAGGCGACGAUCAGUAGCUGGUCUGAGAGGAUGAUCAGCCACAUUGGGACUGAGACACGGCCCAAACUCCUACGGGAGGCAGCAGUGGGGAAUAUUGGACAAUGGGCGCAAGCCUGAUCCAGCCAUGCCGCGUGAGUGAUGAAGGCCUUAGGGUUGUAAAGCUCUUUCGUCCGGGACGAUAAUGACGGUACCGGAAGAAGAAGCCCCGGCUAACUUCGUGCCAGCAGCCGCGGUAAUACGAAGGGGGCUAGCGUUGUUCGGAAUCACUGGGCGUAAAGGGCGCGUAGGCGGCUUUGUAAGUCGGGGGUGAAAGCCUGUGGCUCAACCACAGAAUUGCCUUCGAUACUGCAUGGCUUGAGACCGGAAGAGGUAAGUGGAACUGCGAGUGUAGAGGUGAAAUUCGUAGAUAUUCGCAAGAACACCAGUGGCGAAGGCGGCUUACUGGUCCGGUUCUGNNGCUGAGGCGCGAAAGCGUGGGGAGCAAACAGGAUUAGAUACCCUAGUAGUCC
rnacentral:rRNA from 1 species